CAGGGCCACAGAGAGGAGUUUGGGUUUGAUUUCAAACGCAUACCUCACACUCAGCCAGCAUGGAGAGACCCAAGAAGCAGCUCUGGGAUAAGUAAGCACUUGGACAGAACAUCUGCUCUUCACGCCCCUGACUCUUUCAGCCGCAGCAUGUUCAGGGAGCCCCGUGACCAGGAGGGAGGUGCUGGGCCAAGCCCUUUCUGUGUGUCUGUGAGCUCGGGGCCCACUUUACAGAUGAGAACACCGAGAGAGGCGAAGGCAUCGGGCCAAGACUGCACGCUCCACGUGCUCCUGAGUCAGGUUCAAGCUCUAGGAGGUGUCUGGGCCCCGAGUGCAGCCGGCUGGGCCGGCAGAACUGAAGCCUAGCUGCCCUGAGAGUCUUUUGUGGGGGGCCCCUAGAGGGGCCCAAGAGGUGGGGACAAGGACUGGAGGACGCAGCAAGCCGGCUGUGGAAAGGCAGGCUGUGGGUCCGGGAGGGAGAGUGACGCAAGAGAAAGCUGUGUGGGCUUUUCCAACCUUGAGCAGGAAGCGGCGUGCACGGUUGGCACAGGCGCUUCUCUGAAGGAUGGAAAAAUCGAUGCCCACAGAAGAGCGGGUGCAGGAAAGCACGCUCCUGUGCCCUUGUGGGGUGUGACUUCCUCAUGUCUGAUGGCUGUGCCAGGAGUGGUCUCGUCCAAUGGUGGAGGCACUGCUCAGGGCCUGGGGUCAGAAUCUUGGCCCAUUGGCCGUGUGACCUCAGUUAGGUGGCCUACACCCUCUGACCGGACCUUGGUCCUCCUCUGUGUGGCAAGCCUGCUGAUGCCUGCUAAGGGUCACACAAGAGAAGAGGCAAGAUGCACUCGUCCCACGCGAGCAUGUGGAGAGCAUUCCAUCAGCUGGGGGUAUUAGUGAUGAAAGAAAACAUUCGCCAACUUAAGCUGUCUUUCAGCUAAACUAUCUUUCAGGACUAAGAGCGAUAUAAAGACAGUUCAAAGACUGAGAAACGACCACUCACAGAGCUUUGCUGAAAGAACCAAUGAAAGAUGGUGAAAGGAAGACGGAAACCAAGCCCUGUAUCAAGUAUGUAAUGAGCCACGAGCAAAGAUAUGAAAAUGUGGGGAAAAUCUAAGUAAGACAUGGCCAUUAAAAUUGGUAAUAAUAAUAAUGACAAAUGGAGGCUCAAAACAAGAUCAAAGCAAAAUAUGGACAUUCAUACCUGCUGACUGGGAGGUAUGGCUGGAGUUAAAUCACUCUGAGACCUUCACUGUCUAGGACGAGGGUGGGGAGUACUCAAUUAGAUCAUGUUCAGUCCGUGAAACACGCUAGAAAUUUAAAGAUAACCUCUAACAGUCAGAAAUGGAAUGUGUAACUUUCAAACCAACAGAGGGAAAAACGGGAAGAAAGAAAACAGGGUCGGUCUAAUAGAAGGCAAAAAAAAGAGGAGGGAGGGGAGAACACUGUUGAUUUUUGUGUUUUUGUAGGAUUAUACGUUACUAUUUAAUAGUUUUUAUCUGCUCCCCUUGGGUUUUCAAGUAGUCAGUUACAUGCUCUACAAAUAAGGAUGAUUUUGUCUCCUUUUCAGUUGCUGUUCUUUAAUUUGUUUUCUUGCCUUAUUGCAUUGUCUGAAAGUUUCAGAGCCAUGGAAAAUUACAGAGGCAUCAUUCAGCAUCCUGGUCUUAUUUAGGACAUGACUAAGAAUGUUCCUGGUGCUUCACCACUAGCUGUGGCUUGAGACAGAUCUUUUUUGUCAUUGAAUCAGUCAGGAUAAGUGAGAUUCCGCUGCAGAAACCAAUAAUGUCACGAUCCCACGGCUUGAGAAGGGUUUAUUUCUUGUCCAUAUUAAGUCCGAGGUGGGUCCAGGCCACUCUGUCUCAGUUACAGCUGUGACUGGCUCAGCAUCGCAUCCCCACGGCAUCAAAUGCCUACAUCCUUGCUGCGGCAAGAGAAAGAGACUUGGAGAGUCUUGUAUGAGCAAGGAAGUGCUUCUACCUAGGAACAACACAGAGGACCUCAGCACGUGGCCCUGCCUGAGCCCACUGGGAAGUGUAGUCCGAGCCUGGGAAACCUCGUAGAUGUCACCACAAGCACGUUAAGCAAGCAUCCUUUCAUCACUGACUUCAUCCCUGGGACCCUGAAAGUCCACCCAAAUGUCACUGGGUCUUGGCCGUUUGACGAGUAGCACCAGGGGUUGGUACAAAGGGGAAGGUGAAGUCGCGCAUUCACGGGCUCUGACAAUGCAUGUUUCCAUUGGAGCCUGGCUGCACGUGUGACCCUUCAAUUCUGCCAAAGUCUCUGACUCCUCAUACCCGAGCUCCCCUUUCCCUGAGCUCCUUUGAGUGGAUUUCGAUUUCUUAUGACCCCCCACGAUGUCACCCGGGAUUAUUUGCUGCUGUUUUCUUUGGAGUUUCUAUCAUAUUCCUAAGCAAGACUGUUCUGUAGUUGUCUGCCAACACUUUGUGUUAGGGUUAUUCCACAUUCUUAAGAUGGCUGGGGAAGGUUUCCGUCUUUCCUGCGUCCCAGAAUGGAAUAUCUGAAAUAUGUGAAUAGUUGUUAGUAAAAGUGUUGGGACCCCACCCUUCUCUAGGAAGUAGCUCUUUCCCUACCUUUUCAAUUUACUCUGUAGUAAUAGAUUUUGUGGUUUUCCUCUACUUGUUGAAUUGCUUUGGGUUAUACAUAUUUUCCGGUAAAACUAUCUGCUUAUUCAUAUUUUCAAAUUUAUUAUCAUAAGGCUUCACUUAAUGUAAUUUGAUUUUUAAAAUAUUUUUGUUCCUAUUGUACAUUCAUUUCUCUCUGCUUAUUAUCUUUGGAUCUGCCAGAAGUUCACCUAAUUUAUUAGACUUUCCAAAAGAACAUGUCAUAGAUUUUUUUUUUUAUUUAUCUUUUAUUUCUGGUGUUUUUUUUCCCUCUUCUCUAAUUUAUGAAACUCUGUUUUUUAUUUUUCUCACCUUCCACCCUUUCUUAUUUAAGAAAAUUCACAACAUGGAGCUAUGAAUUUUCCUCCUUAAAACAUUUUAACCACCUUCUCACAUGUUUAGAUAUGUGAUAUUUGCAGUGCUAUUUUUUUUAAGUAGUUGGUCCUGUAGGUUGCGUUUAGAGUUAUUUACAAAAGUCGUGUUUAAUAUUCAAAUGAUUGGCUUUUUAAUUUAAACUUGUGUUAAUAAUUUCUAGCUUAAUUGCAUGGCGGUCAAACAAUGAGGCUUUCGCUAUAUCUGCUUUGGGGAUUCUAUUGAAGUUUCCUUUAUGGCCUAAUAUAUGAUCAAUUUUCAUAAAUGUUUGAUGGGCUCUGGCACACAAAUGAGUAUCUUUUAUUUGUAAGGUACAAAGUUCAGUUAUUAAAUCAACCUUAUUAAUUCUAUUCUUCCAAUCCCGCAGAAAUGUGUUGGGGGGAUACGAUUUAAAGCUGUCAAAGACAGAAGUGUGUUAAGUCUCAUCUGGAGGGUUUUUUAUUGUUGCCGCUGUUUGUCCUUUGUGUGUGUCUGAGUUAUUGCUUUCCUGGUUGGGUCUAAUGCCAUAUAGGACGUAAAAGAUCGCGAGGACCAGAUCUUUCUUCUGCCUUGUACUCUUUAUCAGUACAAAUGACCUUCUGUCUCGUGUCCGGAUUCUUACCUCUGAUUCUCUCUCUGCUCCAAAUAUUACCAUUUGUCUCAUUUGACUUGAACUUGCCUCAGAUCUUUCAUUUUUCACCUUUCCGUGUCCCGUGGUUCGUAGCUUAUCUCUGGUAAGCUCCGUAGAGUUGGCUUUCCUUCUUAGUUUUUGUUUUAUCCAGUCUGAGAGUCUCUGGUAUUUUACUAGGAAAACGUCCCGCAUUUACAUUUGUAAUUAACAUUGACCCGGUGGCAGCAGUGGGAUUUGCUUCCACGGGGAAGCUGGUCUCAGCCUGAUUCCUUCAUCCCUGGGGUGGCUGCUUCCUUUUGUUUCCUGCAUUUUGU